UCGCAAACAUCGAUACUGCCUCCUAGCCCACUCCUCCCCGCUCCGCGACCAACGGCCCGCCCUACGGAGCGGGAACCCUCGGUGCCAGCAGCCCCGACCGCCUUAUGGAUCCGGAGUCUACGGCCAGCGCGGCCGCGUCAGCACGCAGGCUCCGCCCCCGCCGGAGACGCUGCGGCCCCGCCCCCGGGGCCAAACUUGGACUCGAGGUGGCGUGGGGCGCGGGCGCGAGCUGUGGCGGGCUUCGUGCUGGCCGUAGGGGUGGCCGGCGAGGUGUCCUGCGGUGCGCGCGCGCAGUCGCGCAGGAGCGGGUCGUUGGCCGACGUCCCGGGCAGCGUGUGGGGCGGGAGCGGACCGGCGCCCUCCGCGCGGCCCAGCCCGGCCUUAGCCCCCAGUGGGUGCAAACCCGCCUGGCGCGAAAGCGGGGUGCAGCGGCAGAGGCAGCCCGGCCCGCCGCGCGCUGCCACUGUUGGCAGCCGCAGACUCUGCCCAGGCUGAAUUGAGCACUUGAGUUUCACACUUUUAUCGGGAGGAGGAGCUGGUGUGUGUUGUAGUAAAUCACUUUUAGUUGGUCGUUAGUCUUACUAAUAGACGCUGCCUUAGUCACCCUCUGUUGGGACUUUUAUACUUCAACUCUGUAAGGGCGGCCUCUGGAGCUUCUUUUGUUGGAAAACAGGCCCACAUCUCUCCCGGUGACUGGAAUGAGCUGGUUAAGUGUGGGAAGAACAGGGUACUAAUUAUAUUAUCUUUCCUACAACUGGAUUGGUAGGUGGAGAGAGAAAAAAAAUCCUGCUGACGUUUCUCUCUAGUUGUUGCUAGUGAAAAUGCCAGGUUGCUUCAAAGGAUUAACCACAAGGAAGAAGAAAAACACUCUUAGAGAUACAGUGGAGGGAGCUGCUUAAAGCACAUGAAAAAACCUGUUCGAAAAUGGCAUAGAAAACGCAAUGCCAGACCUAAGUGUUUCUGCAGGCUAGCCCUGAAUGUCUUGGGGAUUUCCAGAGAAGGUGCGCCUGCCAUAAAGGUCUCCCCAUCUGUUCCUGGAUCUCGCCCCGCAAUUGCAAUCCUGCCUCACCCUCUCCUAGCUGGGAGAAUAGCACCUGCCCAGAUCCUUACCGAGAGCAGCUGGUGUCAGUGGGUUUGGUCGCUCUUGGUCCCUGGUGUUACGCACCUCUUUCAAACCUGUUCCUCUCCAUGGAGAUCCGGUGCCACUUAUUCUAGCACGUGACUUUGCCCACCGAGCCACUGCCCAAAGGAGAUGAAGCCCAGUCUUUGUGCUACAGAGAGAGCAGCCAUCUCAACACCCCCAAGAGAUGGCCCCACUGGGCAGUGAUCGAAACAUAUUAAAAGAAAACAACUCGGUUUUUGAGCCAUGGCCUAAUUAUACUCGUUUACCUGCAA
rnacentral:lncRNA from 1 species